rnacentral:rRNA from 1 species
CGUACACGGUGGAUGCCCUGGCAGUCAGAGGCGAUGAAGGACGUGCUAAUCUGCGAAAAGCGUCGGUAAGGUGAUAUGAACCGUUAUAACCGGCGAUGUCCGAAUGGGGAAACCCAGUGUGAUUCGUCACACUAUCGUUAACUGAAUACAUAGGUUAACGAGGCGAACCGGGGGAACUGAAACAUCUAAGUACCCCGAGGAAAAGAAAUCAACCGAGAUUCCCCCAGUAGCGGCGAGCGAACGGGGAGCAGCCCAGAGUCUGAAUCAGCUUGUGUGUUAGUGGAACGGUCUGGAAAGUCCGACGGUACAGGGUGAUAGUCCCGUACACCAAAAUGCACAGGUUGUGAACUCGAAGAGUAGGGCGGGACACGUGGUAUCCUGUCUGAAUAUGGGGGGACCAUCCUCCAAGGCUAAAUACUCCUGACUGACCGAUAGUGAACCAGUACCGUGAGGGAAAGGCGAAAAGAACCCCGGCGAGGGGAGUGAAAAAGAACCUGAAACCGUGUACGUACAAGCAGUGGGAGCACCUUCGGGUGUGACUGCGUACCUUUUGUAUAAUGGGUCAGCGACUUAUAUUCUGUAGCAAGGUUAACCGUAUAGGGGAGCCGCAGGGAAACCGAGUCUUAACUGGGCGUUAAGUUGCAGGGUAUAGACCCGAAACCCGGUGAUCUAGCCAUGGGCAGGUUGAAGGUUGGGUAACACUAACUGGAGGACCGAACCGACUAAUGUUGAAAAAUUAGCGGAUGACUUGUGGCUGGGGGUGAAAGGCCAAUCAAACCGGGAGAUAGCUGGUUCUCCCCGAAAGCUAUUUAGGUAGCGCCUCGUGAACUCAUCUUCGGGGGUAGAGCACUGUUUCGGCUAGGGGGUCAUCCCGACUUACCAACCCGAUGCAAACUACGAAUACCGAAGAAUGUUAUCACGGGAGACACACGGCGGGUGCUAACGUCCGUCGUGAAGAGGGAAACAACCCAGACCGCCAGCUAAGGUCCCAAAGUCAUGGUUAAGUGGGAAACGAUGUGGGAAGGCACAGACAGCCAGGAUGUUGGCUUAGAAGCAGCCAUCAUUUAAAGAAAGCGUAAUAGCUCACUGGUCGAGUCGGCCUGCGCGGAAGAUGUAACGGGGCUAAACCAUGCACCGAAGCUGCGGCAGCGACACUAUGUGUUGUUGGGUAGGGGAGCGUUCUGUAAGCCUGCGAAGGUGUGCUGUGAGGCAUGCUGGAGGUAUCAGAAGUGCGAAUGCUGACAUAAGUAACGAUAAAGCGGGUGAAAAGCCCGCUCGCCGGAAGACCAAGGGUUCCUGUCCAACGUUAAUCGGGGCAGGGUGAGUCGACCCCUAAGGCGAGGCCGAAAGGCGUAGUCGAUGGGAAACAGGUUAAUAUUCCUGUACUUGGUGUUACUGCGAAGGGGGGACGGAGAAGGCUAUGUUAGCCGGGCGACGGUUGUCCCGGUUUAAGCAUGUAGGCUG